GCAGUCGUGGCUCAGUGGUAGAGUUCUCACCUUCAAUGCAGGUGACCCAGGGUCAUUUCCUGGCCAGUGCA
rnacentral:tRNA from 1 species